rnacentral:tRNA from 1 species
GGCUCAGUGGUUAAGAGCACUGGCUGUUCUUCCAGANGACCUGGGUUCAAUUCCCAG